AUGUACCAAAAUCAGUACUACAUGGACAAUUCGUCCUUGAUACAUCAAGGUUUCUGAAGUCUGGAGCAAAGAAAAACCAAGCUGCUUGAGGAAAUAAUGCAGUCAGAGGGGACUUCUUUUCGGCCAGCGACGAAUGCUACUAGGGAACAG